rnacentral:rRNA from 1 species
ACGCUAGCUACUGGCUUAACACAUGCAAGUCGAGGGGAAACGGCAUUAAGUGCUUGCACUUUUUGGACGUCGACCGGCGCACGGGUGAGUAACGCGUAUCCAACCUUCCCAUGACUAAGGGAUAACCUGCCGAAAGGCAGACUAAUACCUUAUGGUCUUCACUGACGGCAUCAGAUGUGAAGUAAAGAUUUAUCGGUUAUGGAUGGGGAUGCGUCUGAUUAGUUAGUUGGCGGGGUAACGGCCCACCAAGGCAACGAUCAGUAGGGGUUCUGAGAGGAAGGUCCCCCACAUUGGAACUGAGACACGGUCCAAACUCCUACGGGAGGCAGCAGUGAGGAAUAUUGGUCAAUGGGCGAGAGCCUGAACCAGCCAAGUAGCGUGCAGGAUGACGGCCCUAUGGGUUGUAAACCGCUUUUGUAUGGGGAUAAAGUCAAUCACGUGUGAUUGUUUGCAGGUACCAUACGAAUAAGGACCGGCUAAUUCCGUGCCAGCAGCCGCGGUAAUACGGAAGGUCCGGGCGUUAUCCGGAUUUAUUGGGUUUAAAGGGAGCGUAGGCUGGAGAUUAAGUGUGUUGUGAAAUGUAGACGCUCAACGUCUGACUUGCAGCGCAUACUGGUUUCCUUGAGUACGCACAACGUUGGCGGAAUUCGUCGUGUAGCGGUGAAAUGCUUAGAUAUGACGAAGAACUCCGAUUGCGAAGGCAGCUGACGGGAGCGCAACUGACGCUGAAGCUCGAAGGUGCGGGUAUCGAACAGGAUUAGAUACCCUGGUAGUCCGCACAGUAAACGAUGGAUGCCCGCUGUUGGUACGUGGUAUCAGCGGCUAAGCGAAAGCAUUAAGCAUUCCACCUGGGGAGUACGCCGGCAACGGUGAAACUCAAAGGAAUUGACGGGGGCCCGCACAAGCGGAGGAACAUGUGG